UACGUAGGAGGCAAGUGUUGUCCGGAGUUACUGGGCGUAAAGCGUGUGUAGGCGGUGAUGUUUAUCUGGUGUGAAAUCUCCCGGCUUACCUGGGAGGGGGCAUCGGAAACGGCAUGACUUGAGGGCAUCAGAGGCCAGUAGAACUCCCGGUGGACCAGUGAAAUGGGUAGAGAUCGGGAAGAAUACCAGUGGUGCAGACGGCUGGCUGGGGUGUACCUGACGCUGAGACACGAAAGCAUGGGGAGCAAACAGG
rnacentral:rRNA from 1 species